rnacentral:rRNA from 1 species
UAGAUGCGAGAGUAGAGCAUAUCAAUAAGCGGAGGAAAAGAAACUAACAAGGAUUCCCUUAGUAACGGCGAGUGAAGCGGGAAGAGCUCAAAUUUGAAAUCUUCAAGGUUCUACCUUGACGAAUUGUAGUUUAUAGAAGUGUUUUCUGUUAGUAGAGUGGCAAAAGUUCUUUGGAAUAGGACAUCAUAGAGGGUGAGAAUCCCGUAUUUGGUCAUUCUUUCUAGCUUUGUGAUACACUUUCAACGAGUCGGAUUGUUUGGGAAUGCAGUCCAAAAUGGGUGGUAAAUUUCAUCUAGAGCUAAAUAUUGGCGAGAGACCGAUAGCGAACAAGUACCGUGAGGGAAAGAUGAAAAGAACUUUGAAAAGAGAGUUAAACAGUACGUGAAAUUGUCAAAAGGGAAGCGCUUGACACCAGUGUUGUUUUCUCGAAAAUCAAUUAUAAAUGGCGGGAUUUUGUGUUGUAUAGACUUUAUCAGCUUUCUGCACUUUUUUCCUGUCUUUUUUAAUGCACUUUUCGUUUAACAAGUCAACAUCAAUUUCUUUUGUUGUAAAAGAGUCAUUGGAAGGUGGCUUUCUUUUCGGAGAAAGUGUUUAUAGCCUUUGACUUCUGCAAUCGGAGAGAUUGAGGUCUGCAGCGUAGAUCCUUCGGGGUUAGAUACAUUUGUGCUAAGCUAUAGCCUUUCAUAGACAACUUGUUGACUAUGAUCAGUCAUGUAGCUUACUCGCUUAUGCUAUUUUACCUACGCUUAGGAUGUUGACACACGCGCGUGCUCG